UCGCAUACGAGCGUUUCCUCUUACAUUAGCUCCAUGUCGAUUACCUUUGCGAUCCUGUCCUGCCGUGGAGGCGAAAGCAAAGGUUAACUGCCGCACUAGUGGCACUGAUACAGACGUGAUGUGAUCUUUUUGUAUUAGAUAUGACUCAGCGACAGUAAGGAAUCGGCAUCGGUGUACAAGAAGUUUGGUGGUGGCAGAAGAAGGAAAAGCUUUGUUCGUCAAAGCAGGGGACUCCAAAUCUCAUCAGAUCGAUGCAUGGCAGUACAAGCGCUGAGGAUGUCUGACAUCUGGUCCACUUUUCCUCAGAACAUGAUGAAAUUAUUCACCUUCUCGGUACCAAUAUUCCUUGAGGAUAAGCUUUCAUGAACUGUGAUGCAGGAGGAGUUACUGAGUGUGCUUUGUUGUUAGCAAAAGGGAUGUCCUGGUGUGGACCUUGCGCCCCAUGAGCCUCCAUGGAAGUGAGGCCAGCGACAUGGGUCUCACGGCCAUCGGCCACUGGAACGCCUGCAGAGAGGCUCAUGUGAGUGUUUGGUUGGGCGCGAGACGUACCCGGACAACCCUGCGAGGCCCCAGCCACUGUUCGCGGCCACAUGGGAGGUCGAGACGAGGAGGGGGCAAGCCGGACUCGUCUGGUCAAGCCACCACAGUCGUGGCUCUGCUCUCGUCCGACUGUGGAAGGUGGCCGGUGGACGAGCCUCCGUCCAACACGUGGGUCUUGCGCCCGGGCUCGGUGCUCUCCUGUCGCAGGACAAGGGCGGUGGAGGCGCAGUGCCCUCGCGCGCGGCCAUUGAUGCCUUCCCCCCGGUCGGGCCUCACAGUCUUGUCGGGCCGGAAGGCCCACAGCCCAAACCCUAACAAACGACGGAGACGUCACAUCCCCACUGCCGAAAGUACGCGUCUUAUGCCCCAAAUCUCCGCUUUGUCCCCUCUUCCACCUCCAAUCCCUGUGCUCUCCACCCUCUCUCCCUCUCGUUCUUGUCCGAUAGCUCAAAAGAUCUACCAGGUGGUCAAACUAGAUGACUGUCAAAAAAAGCAUGGAUGAGUGGGUGAACAAGUCGGCCCCACCUCUUCCCUCCCCUCUCCCUUCUCUCUCUGUCCCAUUCUUGUUUGAUAGCCCAAAAAUCUACCUGCUGGUCAAACCGGUUGACCGUGUCAAAAGCAUGUGUGGGGGCGAACACGUAGGCCCCACGCGGGUGGUGGCAUCCAUUCCAGGAUCAACACCCAGACAAAGUUCUUAGAAACCAAGACAUGGGCUACGCGGGGUCAAACGCUUUGUCCUGCCGGCUUGACUGCAUCUGCAUCGCACACCGUUUAGGAGAUUCCUCCUGAUGUGUUCAACCAAAUAUAGUGCUGAUGAGAGUGAGUGAGUGAGUGAGAGAAAGAGGGAGAGAAUAGAAUCAGAUCAUUAGAAGAGUCCAAAUUCCUGGAUCACUCUGAUUUAUUAGGCAUCUUUAACAAGUUCGAUUGCUAUUCUUAAUAUCAUAUUACAAGCUUAAUUAGUUUGUUUUUGCA